CAAAUAGAAGUUGCUGUAAAAACAGUCAAAAAAAAAGAAGCUACACUUAUCCCAAAACUGAAACAGAACAUACAGACUUCCUUCUGAAAGAUUAAAAAACCAUAACCAAACUCUUCACAAAUCUUAUGAUCGUAAACCUUAAGAGAUAAAAACUCGAAUCGCGGUUUUUCAAGUUACUCCGGUAACUAUGUUCUCCACUGUAGAGAUACAAUAUAAAGCUGAGGGUGAGG
rnacentral:misc_RNA from 1 species